rnacentral:rRNA from 1 species
AGACGUCUACAUUAGAUACCCCUGUAGUCCCAGCCGUAAACGAUGUGCGUUAGGUGUAUCGGUGACCACGAGUCACCGAGGUGCCGAAGAGAAAUCGUGAAACGUACCGCCUGGGAAGUACGGUCGCAAGGCUGAAACUUAAAGGAAUUGGCGGGGGAGCACCACAACAGGUGGAGCCUGCGGUUUAAUCGGACUCAACGCCGGAAAACUCACCAGAUAAGACAGCUGAAUGAUAGUCGGGCUGAAGACUCUACUUGACUAGCUG